UAGGGAAUCUUCCGCAAUGGACGCAAGUCUGACGGAGCAACGCCGCGUGAGUGAAGAAGGAUUUCGGUUCGUAAAACUCUGUUGUUAGAGAAGAACAGCGCAUAGAGUAACUGUUAUGCGUGUGACGGUAUCUAACCAGAAAGCCACGGCUAACUACGUGCCAGCAGCCGCGGUAAUACGUAGGUGGCAAGCGUUGUCCGAUUUAUUGGGCGUAAAGCGAGCGCAGGCGGUCAAUUAAGUCUGAUGUGAAAGCCCCCGGCUCAACCGGGGAGGGUCAUUGGAAACUGGUUGACUUGAGUGCAGAAGAGGAGAGUGGAAUUCCAUGUGUAGCGGUGAAAUGCGUAGAUAUAUGGAGGAACACCAGUGGCGAAGGCGACUCUCUGGUCUGUAACUGACGCUGAGGCUCGAAAGCGUGGGUAGCAAACAGG
rnacentral:rRNA from 1 species